CGGGUGAGUAACACAUUAGUAAUCUGCCCCAAAGUCGUGAAUAACCCACCGAAAGGUGGAAUAAUACACGAUGUGCUCAUUAGUCGAAAGAUUAAUGCGUAAAGAUUUAUCGCUUUGGGAGGAGCUUAUGGCUUAUCAGCUAGUUGGUGGGGUAAUGGCCUACCAAGGCUACGACGAGUAGCGGGUGUGAGAGCACGACCCGCCUCACGGGGACUGAGACACUGCCCUGACUCC
rnacentral:rRNA from 1 species